ensembl:lncRNA
CGGGGCGUCUCGGAGACCCUAGUCUUCACCCGGCCCACGAGCCUGGCAAGUCCACCGACCGAUCCCUAAGCCGGGUCUUUCUCUUGGAAACCUCGUCAGCAUCCUGCCUGACGUCUUAUGAGAUUUAUUAAAGCCCUAAGAACAACGAGGCUGAUAUCUGAGAUACUCAUUGAAGGCCCGGGAGAAUUAGGUACAGAUGAUGGCACUGUUGAAAAAUCACAAACGAAGCCAAUUUGAGCAAGAACUGUGUUGGUCCUUGGAGCGGGCUGGAGGCCCUUGGGUGAGAAAAACAGCCACAUCCAGGAUUGGGAGGAUUUACUACUUCCAAAGACAGAUAAAUUAAUAGAAAUUGCAAAAGAUAUAAAAGUAUGGGGUGGACAGGUUUAUUACUGUACACGGUGAUUUUCUUUUUUAACGUGCUGUAACUUGUAGCCAUUUUUAUUAAUGGGCCAAUCUAAACAGGGUUGAAAGAUUAACUGUGACUCCACCCCAAGUCACAAUAGGAUCCUGUACUUCUCUUUUUAUAGCUGUGAAGACUGGGAAUCAUUCUUGGCUCAGUGUAAUGUUUAUAAGGCAUGGCUCAUCUCAUUGAAUGAAAUUUUUUAAAAAAGAGUUUGAAGUUUGAGUUUAUGAUAGCAAUAAAAGUACUCUAUAUUCCUGGAUUAAAGUUGCUUUAAUUAAUGAGAAAAGUAAGCCAGCCAAAAGAAACUGGUGACAAUUUAAGAAGAGUAUUGAAAAACCACUGCAAUACUUGCCAGGGCCAUGCCACUCUACAGUUCAAACAUUUGCACACCCAAUUCGUUUAACCUUCACAACACUCAUGUGAGGGCAGCAUAGAGGCUGUCCUUAUUUUAUGGAUGAGAAAACCAAAGCUCAAAGAAACUAAGUGAUGGUCCAGGUUCUCAUAAGAACCGAGUGGUUGAGAAGACCUCUGGAACCAGCAGCCAUCCUAACUGCAUGGACUGAACUUUGAAAGACUAUUGCUCAGCACUCUUCACCUUAUCCAUUCAGAUAAGAUCACGAAGAUGGACGAAUAUGCUGAGCUGACUCAUUCCCCUCAGUAUAGAGCAGUCAUCUUCGUGGUGACAUUCAUCCUGACGAUGCUAAACAGAACGUGAGCCCCAUGAGACCAGAGACCAAGCCUGUUUUAGUCACUCCUGUAUUCCUAGAGCUAUCACAGGACCUAGUGGACAGUAGAUACUCAGUUGACAUAUGGUGUCAGAAGUGAGAUUGGAAGUGAUCUCACCUUCAUGGACUGGCAUUCCCUGGAAAUGUGUUUAAUACCAACAUGAGCCCCUUUGUGUGUUCAGCUGCUUCCAAGGACAGCUGACUCCUCCAAUUGUGGGACCCCUCAGAUUAGAAGGUAUAAAUCUCAAAAGCAAACUUUCAGCUACACCUUUUCCACUAAUGAUUUAAAGACCAAGCUUUGAAAAGCUGAAGAAGAAAACAAGUGGAUGCCAGUGUUCGGUGAGGGAGGCCACAGCCGCGCGAAAUUUGUUCUAAAAGUAGGUAGCCACAGAUCCGUCUGCACAUAUCCAAGAGGGUUUCCCCCAGGAGGUGGGAAGGCUGGGGAAGGAAUGGACUGUUUAUAUCCAAGGACCUUUUCGUUUGCUUGGAAGAGCUGUUAAAGACUCUGGUAAAUAAAGGAGACUGAACAUAUGGUGAGCCCUCAAUUCAUAGCAGCCAUUAUCACUGUUGUUAUUAACAUUAUUUUAUCCUCAUCCUCGGGUUCUAGUUUUUCCCCC